CUUAGCAGCUUGACGGUGACAGUGUUCAGCAGCAGACAGUGGAAGACGAGAACGACUGUGGCGAAGGCCGAGCAAGAUGGCGGCGUCUCUGCACGGCCCUGACCAGAACCAUGUCAAAUAUCCAGAGGCGGAGAAGGUGAAGCAACCAUGUUUGAUUAAUAUCUAUUCUUUUGGCAAAGUUCCAACUAGAUUUAACUAUUUAACCCGCAGUCUUAUGGUACGUUCAUAACAAACGCGUUCUGAGAUUCAGGCGCGUCUGGUUUACAUGCAAAGUCUUUGUGGAGGCGCGUCAAGGGCCGUGGCGGCGCUUUUCGGCGUCAAGCUCGGUGCGAUUUGAGCCGUCUGGAGCCUUUUGAGCUUUGGGAGAGCAACUCUCCACAUAGACUUUGAAUGUAAACCAAGUGUGCCUGACGCUCAAAACACGUUUGGUGUGAACGCAUCAAAAAUGUACACGCGUCGAACUUCAAGCGUCAGAUUUGUUUUUGACGCGCGUAACGCGAUUGGUGUGGACUUAUCAUUAGCGGAUUAAACAGUUGUCCAAACGUGUGACCCGUCAAACAAAACAAACUCAUAAACCGGUGACCCGCUGGACCACACACACGGUAAAAAGCUCAGGAGGGAUUCAAACGACCGCUCUUAGAACUGCGGAAGGUUCAAACUCUGCUCAUUCAUUUUUAGCUUACAGAAAAACAUCAAGACGCCAAAUUUACGAAAGUAAAUUGACCAAAAACACUUAGGCUUUGGCGUGCUCACCCGACUCACACAGAUGUGCGCUGUGUACAGUGUUUUGACACAAAAUAUCUUUUUUCUCCUCAAUGUUGUUAAUAGUAAAGGUUAGUUCAU